AAUCAACGCUGGCGGCGUGCCUAACACAUGCAAGUCGAACGAGAAAGGGGACUUCGGUCCCUGAGUACAGUGGCGCACGGGUGAGUAACACGUGACUUAUCUACCCUCGAGUGGGGAAUAACUUCGGGAAACCGAGGCUAAUACCGCAUAAUACCCACGGGUCAAAGGAGCAAUUCGCUUGAGGAGGAGGUCGCGGCCCGAUUAGUUAGUUGGCGGGGUAAUGGCCCCCACCAAGACGGUGAUCGGUAUCCGGCCUGAGAGGGCGCACGGACACACUGGAACUGAAACACGGUCCAGACUCCUACGGGAGGCAGCAGUGGGGAAUUUUGCGCAAGUGGGGGAAACCCUGACGCAGCAACGCCGCGUGGAGGAUGAAGUCUCUUGGGACGUAAACUCCUUUCGAGUCGGGACGAUUAUGACGGUACCGGAAGAAGAACGCCCCGGCUAACUUCGUG
rnacentral:rRNA from 1 species